rnacentral:rRNA from 1 species
GCAACUAGACAAGCAUGCACUCAUGUUUUUCAGUCUGCUCUGCGACAGUAUCGGUACCACCUUAGAAAAUCUCACUUUGAAGGCAAGGCUAACAAUGAAAUCCCCCAAACAUCUCCAGUGGAAUAUAUUACAGAUGAAGACUGGAAAACCCUCAUUAAACAUUGGUCUGAUCCAAAGUAUCAGGCUAACUGUUUGAAGAACAAAACCAACCGUUGUAAAGUGAAAUUCCAACAAACCACAGGAUCUCAUAGCUAUAUUGCACACUGCGAGGCUCUUAGGAAAUCUCAUGCGGACCAAAAAGAACCUGAACUGAAUGCAGUGCAAAUCUCCAAGGAUUGCCACACCAGCAAGAUGAAGGGCAUGAGCACACCAGUUCAAGCCGCUGUU